rnacentral:tRNA from 1 species
GCCUGCUUAGCUUAGUGGUAGAGCGUUCGCUUUGUAAGCGAAAGGUCGAGAGUUCAAUCCUCUCAGUGGGCA